rnacentral:rRNA from 1 species
UUGAACGCUGGCGGCAUGCCUAACACAUGCAAGUCGAACGCGAAAGAGGGGCAACUCUCGAGUAGAGUGGCGGACGGGUGAGUAAUACGUAGGAAUCUACCCUAGAGUGGGGGAUAACCUGUCGAAAGACGGGCUAAUACCGCAUAAUCUCUAAGGAGCAAAGGUGGCUAGCAAUAGCCUUCGCUUUAGGAUGAGCCUACGUCGGAUUAGCUAGUUGGUAGGGUAAUGGCCUACCAAGGCGACAAUCCGUAGCUGGUCUGGGAGGACGAUCAGCCACACUGGAACUGAGACACGGUCCAGACUCCUACGGGAGGCAGCAGUGGGGAAUAUUGGACAAUGGGGGAAACCCUGAUCCAGCAAUGCCGCGUGUGCGAUGAAGGCCUGCGGGUCGUAAAGCACUUUCGGUGGGGAAGAAAUUCUCAAAGAUAAUACCUUUGAGAGCUGACGUUACCCACAGAAGAAGCACCGGCAAACUCUGU